UACGUAGGGUGCGAGCGUUAAUCGGAAUUACUGGGCGUAAAGCGCACGUAGGCGGCUAUUUAAGUCAGAGGUGAAAUCCCGGGGCUCAACCCCGGAACUGCCUUUGAAACUGCAUAGCUAGAAUCUUGGAGAGGCGAGUGGAAUUCCGAGUGUAGAGGUGAAGUUCGUAGAUAUUCGGAAGAACACCAGUGGCGAAGGCGACUCGCUGGACAAGUAUUGACGCUGAGGUGCGAAAGCAUGGGGAGCAAACAGG
rnacentral:rRNA from 1 species